GACCCAUCAGAUCCUUUACAGCUGGUUUCAAGAUGGCAGCGUGGAUGGAGGCGAGACCGUGGAGCCAGUCUGGACAGCGUUUACCACGGAUUUGUUGAUCAUCUCUGGCAGGGGUGCAGUGGGACUUGACAAGGAGACGUUGGUGGAUCACAUGCUCCCCAACAUACUUUGUCACGGCUACUUAGAAUCAAC